CCGGGGCUAUAAAGCAACAAGAAUGACUAUUACUUUUCAAUUUCCCCCUAUGAAUAAUAUAUAUUACCUAAAAUUAACAACUAAGACAUGAACAGUAUGUUUGGAUGGGGUGAAGGGAGGUUUUUUAAAGUAAGGUAAGGAGAGGUAAAGGGAGGUAAGGUUUUAAAACCUUGGUGGAUUAAAAAAUUGAGGGUUUUGGAAAACCAUACAAAUACUUUAGAAAACCAUACCUUACCUCCAAACACUUCUUCCCAAACAUCGUGGACGUGUUCUGCAAAUUUGAGCUACCACCGAUAGCUCAUUAACAGUUCAAUAGCUAGAAUAAUUUUGCCCCAGUAAUAUGAUUGAUUCGCAUGGAAAGUAAACUAAACAGUACAAUAGCACACCCAAGAUUUCCAAGCAUAUGCACAGGCAACGAUGAUUCUGAUACCAUUUUCUCAUCCCAUUUAUGAUUUCAUAAAUAACAUGCAUUCCAGCUAUCAAGCCUCAAUGUACCAAACUAACAAAAUGCGAGUACCAAAACUAACCAUCUCGUAAUUUCGGAGCUUAUUAGGGGGAAAAACUCAAAAGAAAUGAAGCUUUUGUCUCCACAGGAGUAGGGUUUUAUCAAAUCGUCAGAACUAAAC
rnacentral:lncRNA from 1 species